rnacentral:rRNA from 1 species
UACAGAGGUGGCAAGCGUUGUUCGGAAUUACUGGGCGUAAAGGGCGCGUAGGCGGUCUUUUAAGUUCCGUGUGAAAUCCCUCGGCUCAACUGGGGAACGGCACGGGAAACUGGAAGGCUUGAGUUCGGGAGAGGGAAGCGGAAUUCCGGGUGUAGUGGUGGAAUGCGUAGAUAUCCGGAGGAACACCAGUGGCGAAAGCGGACUCUCUGGGGGCAACCUGACGGCUGAGGCGCGAAAGCGUGGGGAGCGAACAGGAUUAG